CCCAAUUGGAGUGAUUUCUUCGGUGUAAUUUCUCUUCUGUGGGUGGCCUGGAGUUUCAGGCUCUCAGGCUAUGAGUGACAUGAGCUUGAAGGGACCCUGGAAUAGAUUUCUUGAAAAUAGGUUUUUGAUGCUGCCUAACAUUCUUCAUGAAUGUGUCGGCUGUGAGGCCUGAAAAGACAAAGCACAGUGUGACCCAUGGCGGGUUGUAGGACCCUCUGUGUUACUGGGCAGUACUUUCCCAUUUGGGGUCAGAGGUCAGGUUAUACCGCUCUUCCUCCACAGACAUUUGGUGUCAAAUUAGUAGGAAAUUUUUUUGAAUAAAAGCUGGUUUUAUUCCAAUCCAGGUUUAAAGGAAGAUGGAAGAAACCUUUUGUCUCAAUAUCUCCAUCUUAUUAAAAGCUAAAAAAGACAGUUGGCCUUGAUUCAAAAGGAACAGGAGAGUCCCAAUUGAAUUCCGUUAGUUCCCUUCCUCCAGGAUUGGCUGGCCACAGGUGGUAUUAUAGUCCCUUAUGGCUGUCAUUCAGUUUCUAGCAGCCUUGCCCAGGGACCCUUCCUGGAUCCUGGCUAGCUGAAUUCAGCUGGGCACCUGUAUAAGAAAUAAGAAAUAGGCAAAGGAUGGAAAAAGGAAAAAUGAACUUUUGCACUUUGAUUGGGAGAGAAGCAGCGAGAUUGCUUCUCUACUCUAUAAAUCGGUUAUGAUUGAUAGAAGCAAGAGCCAGGUGAUAUUCAUAUGUAGAUAUAGCCAAGCAGUGUUAAUCAGAAAUGUGACAGUCUUAGCUGCCUUGGUGUCUGUUGAGCCAGAGGAUGUAGCCCUCCAGUCUUUACUCCCAGAGUGAGGAAUUUGUCCUCAGUGUCAGAAGGGCGCUGCAUUAGAGUCUGGUCUGGACUGGAAGGUGAAUGGUCAGCCCAGGUCUCUUGGGGACUGGGCGGUUACUGCCUUGUAGAAGCAUCUGUGACUCUACUCUGCUCCACUGGGCAGGAGGGGUUGGUUGGGAUUCGUGCAUGCAUGUGUGUGUGUGCUCUGCAUGUGAUGGUCCCCUGCCACACUGGGGGGAACCUAGCUAACACACUCCUCCAGAGUUACAUUUGACUACAUCAGUGACUUUGGCUUUCUGGGCAAAUCUGGACUCCUGGGGAAAAAAAAGUUUCUCUCUCCAAGCCUGCUCUAUGGUGCAGGAGGAGACACACAAUUGCCUUUGUUGUUUGUUCUUCCCGUGUGGGGACAAAAGCCCUUUCAGUUGGUGUGGAAUGUACAAGAGUUUUAUGCCAACGGCUGCUGGGUCUUGGCCUGGAAUCCUGCAGAUCAGGCUGAGUAGGGGAGUUGGUUGCUUCAUCCAAAGCUCCCCUGGGUCCUAUCUGCCAUAUCUCCAUGUGGUCAGGGUCUACCACAGGGGCCUCACUGCCCGCUCUGUCUUCUCUGAGUGUAGCUGUGAUCUCCUGUGACAUUCCUGUCCUCAUCAAGUGCUGAGAACCCGUGGCCUGUGCAGGGUCCCGCAUCUCCUAGGGUGCUGAAGCCAACCACAGAGUUGAACUUCGCUCUAAUUUCAAAAUGUCAACAAGCCUGUGCUACUGGGAAGUGCCCGGGAACAGACCUGCCACCAGCCCCAGGGGAGCCCCAGGGUGAUCCUGAAGGUACUUGGAACAGAGUAAGACUUUGACCUCUGCCUUUCAGGUGCUUUCAACCUAAAGGGGAAAGCAAAUACGGGUCAUCUGUGCUUGAAUAUUGAGAAGCCACCACCAUCAGCGGAUCCACAGAGACUCCAUCAGCUUUGGCUUCUUGGGAACUGGUAUUCUGGGGGCAGGGUCUGACCAGCAUGCAACAUAAUCCUUUCUCCAUUUUUUCCACAUUUGGGGCAGUUAAGACCAGCUGUGAAAUGCCCUGAGAAUGGGGAUGUGUUUGGAGAGGCUGCUGUGGGACACCAAAUGGAGCUAAAACUUGUCUGGAACUGCACUGUCCAAUAUGGUAGCCACUAACACUUUUGGUUAUGAAGCACUUGGUCUGUGGCCGCUCCAAGCUGAGAAAUGCUGUGAGGGUAAAAUACACACCACAUUUCAAAGACUUAUCACUUAAAAAAAGAAUAUACAUCGUCUCAUUAAUAUUUUAAAUAUUGACUAUAUGCUGAUAAAAUAUUUUGGAUAUUU